rnacentral:rRNA from 1 species
CCCUUAGAGUUUGAUCCUGGCUCAGAUUGAACGCUGGCGGCAGGCCUAACACAUGCAAGUCGAACGGUAACAGGAAGCAGCUUGCUGCUUUGCUGACGAGUGGCGGACGGGUGAGUAAUGUCUGGGAAACUGCCUGAUGGAGGGGGAUAACUACUGGAAACGGUAGCUAAUACCGCAUAACGUCGCAAGACCAAAGAGGGGGACCUUCGGGCCUCUUGCCAUCGGAUGUGCCCAGAUGGGAUUAGCUAGUAGGUGGGGUAACGGCUCACCUAGGCGACGAUCCCUAGCUGGUCUGAGAGGAUGACCAGCCACACUGGAACUGAGACACGGUCCAGACUCCUACGGGAGGCAGCAGUGGGGAAUAUUGCACAAUGGGCGCAAGCCUGAUGCAGCCAUGCCGCGUGUAUGAAGAAGGCCUUCGGGUUGUAAAGUACUUUCAGCGGGGAGGAAGGCGAUAAGGUUAAUAACCUUGUCGAUUGACGUUACCCGCAGAAGAAGCACCGGCAACUCUG